GGGCACGUGGCGGAACUGGAAUACGCACAUCCUUGAGGUGGAUGCGCCUGUAAAGGAUUGAGGGUUCGACUCCCUCCGUGCCCACCA
rnacentral:tRNA from 1 species